UUAGGUAUAAAAUUCAAAGCCCUAGAAGAAAAAAUAAUCUUCUUCACGAAGUUUCAGGCAGCUUCCUGCUUUUCUUUUCUACACCUCUCCGGCUUAAACAAGAAAUCAUCUCCUCCACCUUUGUUUUGCAGCUAUGAGUGAUCCCAAGUAUGCUUAUCCAUAUCCUGCUCAAGGUUACUAUCAAGGUCCUCCAGUGAUGCCGCCGCCUCAGUAUGUUGCUCCGCCACCCAGGAGAGAGCCUGGUUUCCUUGAAGGAUGUCUGGCGGCUUUGUGUUGCUGCUGCUUGCUUGACGAGUGCUGCUGUGAUCCCUCCAUUGUGUUUAUAAGCUGAUGAUCGUAUAUUGUAAUUUCAUAAUGUAUUUAUGAAUAAUUUUCACUUUUAUA